CGGCCGCGGUACCCUGACCGUGCUAAGGUAGCAUAAUCCCUUGCCUCUUAAUUAGUGGCUAGUAUGAAUGGAUAAACGAGAAUCAAACUGUCUCUAUAAGUUAUUUAAAAAUUGUCCUUCAAGUGAAGAGACUUGAAUUAAAAUAAAAGACAAGAAGACCCUGUAGAGCCUAAGCUUAAUAUAAAUCUUUAAAUAUAACUAAACUUAAUCUUUAUAUCUGCUCUAGUUGGGGCGACUAAGGAACACCUAAAACUUCCUUUAUUUCUUCGACAUACCUGUCCUAAAAUUGACCCGCCAUUUACGCGAUUAAAAAACAAGGCUACCUCAGGGAUAACAGUCUAAUCUUCCUUAAGAGUCCACAUUGACAGGAAGGAUUGGCACCUCGAUGUUGGCUUAGGGGCACUCCAUGGCGCAACCGCCUUAACAGUAGGUUUGUUCAACCUUUAAUACCCUACGUGAUC
rnacentral:rRNA from 1 species